rnacentral:tRNA from 1 species
GCCUCAGUAGCUUAAACAAAGCAUUGGUCUUGUAAACCAAAGACUGUAGACUAAUAUCCCACCUGAGGCU